rnacentral:lncRNA from 1 species
CUUCAACUUAAAUUGCAUACUAACCUAGAAUUUGGGCUACUUAGUAAUUAAAACCUUGUGUGCUUUUGAAAUUCUUAUCAGUUAUGUACUUGAAAUUAGACUUUCAUUUCAUAAAAUAAAUUUUAUUUUGGGAUUGAAGUUUGUGGGUAACUUCACUGCAAACCCUCACGAGACAACACUCCUCCACUAGGGUAACCUAGGGGUUUAAAGGCUUGUUGCACGUGCUAAGUGCAAUCGUAAUGCUCUACGAAAAUGAGUAUUUAUCUUACUAUUUUUUUUUAAUAAAUUACACUUUUGCACACUCAUUUUAUCAUUUUCGCACUGAAUUGCUAGAGACUAACAAUAAGCUAGUUAGGGGGUGUGAUGAGAGCACAAAAGUGCGACCUACAUGUUACUAAAAUUAGUGUUAUUGUUAACCGAUAAUAAUAAAUUCACUAGAUUAAUAUUAUAUUUAGAUUUAACAUAGAUUAGUAUAAAUUAUAGAUAAAAUGCACAUUGAGUACAAAUUUGACUUCAAAUCGGGUCCGAGUCGGGUUCGGGUCCGAAUCGGAUCCAUUUCUUUUGAGCCUUUGGAAAAUAAUUUUGGGCAAAUCUAAAUUUGCCAUAAGGUGCUGGGUGACCCAUGACUUGAAAGAAUUGCACUUGACCUCCAGCCAGAAUAGAUGACCCAAAAUUUCAU